rnacentral:rRNA from 1 species
UACGUAGGGUGCAAGCGUUGUCCGGAAUUCUUGGGCGUAAAGAGCUCGUAGGCGGUUUGUCGCGUCUGCUGUGAAAACUCGGGGCUUAACCCCGGGCCUGCAGUGGGUACGGGCAGACUAGAGUGCGGUAGGGGAGACUGGAAUUCCUGGUGUAGCGGUGAAAUGCGCAGAUAUCAGGAGGAACACCGGUGGCGAAGGCGGGUCUCUGGGCCGUAACUGACGCUGAGGAGCGAAAGCGUGGGGAGCGAACAGG